UACGGGGGGGGCAAGCGUUGUUCGGAAUUACUGGGCGUAAAGGGCUCGUAGGCGGCCAACUAAGUCCGACGUGAAAUCCCCAGGCUUAACCUGGGAACUGCGUCGGAUACUGGAUGGCUUGAGUUCGGGAGAGGGAUGCGGAAUUCCAGGUGUAGCGGUGAAAUGCGUAGAUAUCUGGAGGAACACCGGUGGCGAAGGCGGCAUCCUGGACCGACACUGACACUGAGGAGCGAAAGCCAGGGGAGCAAACGGG
rnacentral:rRNA from 1 species